rnacentral:rRNA from 1 species
UACGGAAGGCAGCAGUAGGGGAAUCUUCCGCAAUGGACGAAAGUCUGACGGAGCAACGCCGCGUGAACGAUGAAGGCUUUCGGGUCGUAAAGUUCUGUUGUUAGGGAAGAACAAGUACCGGAGUAACUGCCGGUACCUUGACGGUACCUAACCAGAAAAGCCACGGCUAACUACGUGCCAGCAGCCGCGGUAAUACGUAGGUGGCAAGCGUUGUCCGGAAUUAUUGGGCGUAAAGCGCGCGCAGGCGGUCCUUUUAAGUCUGAUGUGAAAGCCCACGGCUCAACCGUGGAGGGUCAUUGGGAAACUGGGGGACUUGAGUGCAGAAGAGGAGAGUGGAAUUCACGGUGUAGCGGUGAAAUGCGUAGAGAUGUGGAGGAACACCAGUGGCGAAGGCGACUCUCUGGUCUGUAACUGACGCUGAGGCGCGAAAGCGUGGGGAGCGAACGAG